rnacentral:snoRNA from 1 species
AGGCGUUAAGACAAGAAAUAUUCUCAUGGGGGGCUGGUGUGCAAUGGCUGCAAACAGCAGCCUCCUUGGUAGUGUAUACAGCCUGUUGCUUAUAUAGGUUGCUCUAAGGCAGUGGUUCUCAACCCUCCUAAUGCCUCAAUCCAUCAAUACAGUUCCUGUGGGUCACGACCCACAGGUUGAGAACUGCUGCUCCAAGGGACUUUGGAGACAUUC